AUACUACUCCAUCCGUCCGGAAAUACUUGUCAUCAAAAUGGACAAAAAAAGAUGUAUCUAGAACUAAAACAUGUCUAGAUACAUCCUCUUUUAUCCAUUUUGAUGACAAGUAUUUUCAGAUGGAGGGAGUACUAC
rnacentral:pre_miRNA from 1 species